ensembl:rRNA 5S_rRNA 5S ribosomal RNA
GUCUACGGCCAUACCACCCUCAACGUGCCCGAUCUCGCCUGAUCUCAGAAGCUAAGCAGGGUCGGGCCUGGUUGGUACUUGGAUGGAGUGGGGAAAGGUGGGAGUUGGGGCGAGAGUCAGGAGGCCGUUGGUG